rfam:Schistosoma rodhaini strain Burundi genome assembly, scaffold: SROB_scaffold0008329
AUCCAGCUGACGAGUCCCAAAUAGGAUGAAACGCGCAUGCUGGAU